UACGGGGGGGGCAAGCGUUGUUCGGAAUUACUGGGCGUAAAGGGCUCGUAGGCGGCCAACUAAGUCAGACGUGAAAUCCCUCGGCUUAACCGGGGAACUGCGUCUGAUACUGGUUGGCUUGAAUUCGGGAGAGGGAUGCGGAAUUCCAGGUGUAGCGGUGAAAUGCGUAGAUAUCUGGAGGAACACCGGUGGCGAAGGCGGCAUCCUGGACCGGCAUUGACGCUGAGGCGCGAAAGCCAGGGGAGCAAACGGG
rnacentral:rRNA from 1 species